rnacentral:rRNA from 1 species
UGGGGGAUAUUGCACAAUGGGCGAAAGCCUGAUGCAGCGACGCCGCGUGGGGGAUGAAGGCCUUCGGGUUGUAAACUUCUUUUGCUCUGAACAAGGCAUGCUAAUGGGUGUGUUGAGUGUAGGGGUUGAUUAGCGCCGGCUACCUACGUGCCAGCAGCCGCGGUAAUACGUAGGGCGCGAGCGUUGUCCGGAAUUAUUGGGCGUAAAGGGCUUGUAGGUGGCUGGUUGCGUCUGUCGUGAAAGCUCAUGGCUUAACUGUGGGUUUGCGGUGGGUACGGGCUGGCUUGAGUGCAGUAGUGGAGGCUGGAAUUCCUGGUGUAGCGGUGGAAUGCGCAGAUAUCAGGAGGAAUACCGGUGGCGAAGGCGGGUCUCUGGGCUGUUACUGACACUGAGGAGCGAAAGCAUGGGGAGCGAACAGG